rnacentral:rRNA from 1 species
UACGAAGGGGGCUAGCGUUGCUCGGAAUCACUGGGCGUAAAGGGUGCGUAGGCGGGUCUUUAAGUCAGGGGUGAAAUCCUGGAGCUCAACUCCAGAACUGCCUUUGAUACUGAGGAUCUUGAGUUCGGGAGAGGUGAGUGGAACUGCGAGUGUAGAGGUGAAAUUCGUAGAUAUUCGCAAGAACCCCCGUGGCGAAGGCGGCUCCCUGGCCCGAUACUGACGCUGAGGCACGAAAGCGUGGGGAGCAAACAGG